rnacentral:rRNA from 1 species
UACGUAGGGGGCGAGCGUUGUCCGGAUUUAUUGGGCGUAAAGAGCUCGUAGGCGGUUUGUCGCGUCGGCUGUGAAAACCCGGGGCUCAACCCCGGGCCUGCAGUCGAUACGGGCAAACUAGAGUGCGGUAGGGGAGACUGGAAUUCCUGGUGUAGCGGUGAAAUGCGUAGAGAUCGGGAGGAACAUCUGUGGCGAAGGCGGCCAUCUGGACCAGCACUGACACUGAGGCACGAAAGCGUGGGGAGCAAACAGG